GAUGAACGCUGGCGGCGUGCCUAAUACAUGCAAGUCGAGCGAACAGAUGAGAAGCUUGCUUCUCUGAUGUUAGCGGCGGACGGGUGAGUAACACGUGGGCAACCUACCUAUAAGACUGGGAUAACUCCGGGAAACCGGGGCUAAUACCGGAUAAUAUUUUGAACCGCAUGGUUCAAUAGUGAAAGACGGUUUCGGCUGUCACUUAUAGAUGGACCCGCGCCGUAUUAGCUAGUUGGUAAGGUAACGGCUUACCAAGGCGACGAUGCGUAGCCGACCUGAGAGGGUGACCGGCCACACUGGAACUGAGACACGGUCCAGACUCCUACGGGGGGAAGCAGUAGGGAAUCUUCCGCAAUGGGCGAAAGCCUGACGGAGCAACGCCGCGUGAGUGAUGAAGGUCUUCGGAUCGUAAAACUCUGUUGUUAGGGAAGAACAAAUUUGUUAGUAACUGAACAAGUCUUGACGGUACCUAACCAGAAAGCCACGGCUAACUACGUGCCAGCCGCCGCCGUAA
rnacentral:rRNA from 1 species